CCUACGGGAGGCAGCAGUAGGGAAUCUUUCACAAUGGGCGAAAGCCUGAUGGAGCAACGCCGCGUGCAGGAUGAAGGCCUUCGGGUUGUAAACUGCUUUUAUAAGCGAGAAAUAUGAUGGUAACUUAUGAAUAAGGAUCGACUAACUACGUGCCAGCAGCCGCGGUCAUACGUAGGAUCCGAGCAUUAUCCGGAGUGACUGGGUGUAAAGAGUUGCGUAGGUGGCAUAAUAAGUAGCUAGUGAAAUCUGGUGGCUCAACCAUUCAGACUAUUAGCUAAACUGUUAAGCUCGAGACCGUUAGGGGUAACUGGAAUUUCUAGUGUAGGAGUGAAAUCCGUAGAUAUUAGAAGGAACACCAAUAGCGUAGGCAGGUUGCUGGGACGGUUCUGACACUAAGGCACGAAAGCGUAGGGAGCAAACGGGAUUAGAUACCCCAGUAGUC
rnacentral:rRNA from 1 species